rnacentral:rRNA from 1 species
UACGUAGGGGGCAAGCGUUGUCCGGAUUUAUUGGGCGUAAAAGGCUUGUAGGUAGCCACGCCAAGUCGGAUGUGAAAUCUCCCGGCUCAACUGGGAGGGGUCAUUCGAUACUGGCGGGCUCGAGGCCGGUAGGGGGAAGUGGAAUUCCCGGUGUAGUGGUGGAAUGCGUAGAUAUUCGCAAGAACACCAGUGGCGAAGGCGGCUCACUGGCCCGGUACUGACGCUGAGGUGCGAAAGCGUGGGGAGCAAACAGG